CCUACGGGAGGCUGCAGUGGGGAAUAUUGGACAAUGGGGGCAACCCUGAUCCAGCCAUGCCGCGUGUGUGAAGAAGGCCCUCGGGUUGUAAAGCACUUUCAGUGAGGAAGAACGCCUGGUGGUUAAUACCCAUCAGGAAAGACAUCACUCACAGAAGAAGCACCGGCUAACUCCGUGCCAGCAGCCGCGGUAAUACGGAGGGUGCGAGCGUUAAUCGGAAUUACUGGGCGUAAAGCGCGCGUAGGUGGCUUGAUAAGCCGGUUGUGAAAGCCCCGGGCUCAACCUGGGAACGGCAUCCGGAACUGUCAAGCUAGAGUGCAGGAGAGGAAGGUAGAAUUCCCGGUGUAGGGGUGAAAUGCGUAGAGAUCGGGAGGAAUACCAGUGGCGAAGGCGGCCUUCUGGACUGACACUGACACUGAGGUGCGAAAGCGUGGGUAGCAAACAGGAUUAGAUACCCCGGGAGUC
rnacentral:rRNA from 1 species